CAUAUCGCAUAAAGAUAAAAUUGAAAAUGCUGAAUCAUUGAUCGUAUAUUUGUUUCACGCGAAUUAUAAGCGGCAGCCGUCAGGUCAAAAAUGACAAACAAUACGCAGGUAGAUAGACAAGAUAGACAAAUACAGAAAAAAAAAAGAAAAAAGAAUGAUUGAGCGAGAAAAAUAAUAAAAUGAAAACACAAAAAAGACGACAGACAGGCGAUUGAAAACGGAAUACAGAAGAUUCGGGAAUAUGUAGAAAUGAGUCGAAUAAGCGAGGUUAUGAUCAAACACUGGCAAAAUAUAAUUGGCAACGUAACUGAAUCGAAAACAUUGGUUAUAGGGAUAAUAAAACAGAAGAAAUACAUAUGGGAUGAGCGAGAAUAAGAUCAAACGAAGAUAUAUAUAUAUAUAUAAAGAGACAAAGACAUAGACAAAAAAUGAUAACUGAACAAGGGAAACAGAGAAAAAAGAGAGACGUGAUACGCAGGCUAAGGUUCAUAAAAAAAAAACUUUUUUUUCUUUUGGAUUAAUGAACGAUUAGCGAGAGAGCUGCAACUUACCGCGGUGUAAAGGAACUCCAGAACGUACUACGUGUGGGAAAAAACCAACGAGAAGAAAGGGCGUUACCACGGUCACAGAACCCGCGUUUGCGGGCAAAAAAACGGACGCGCGUACGCAGCAUUGCGCGAGCAAUCGUUUAUUUCGCAUUUGCAUCGAUUUCUUUUUCUUUUUCUUUUACCACGUCGUUUUUCAUUCAAAUUUUCGCGCCAUCUACCGCCCCAUCAUACGAUAUUGCUUUUUACGUACGUUACGACCGAUGGUUAACUUUCGAAGGAGUUCAUCCCCACCACGCCCAUAUUCCCCCACCCAUUACACGUUCGCGCUAACGUUUUAUCGCGUACUUGCGAGUUCCGCGGCGAAAAUCGAAUGCUCCAUCGCAAUGUUCCGCACGCCGUUACAGAAACAAUAGACGUAGACACACACUAAUCAAGCGUACCCAUCACACACACGGUUUUCGUCAGUCACGCAACAUGAAUACAGUCACUCGCAGACUCAUUCAACAUAGAGUGGUAAUACAUGACAGACACAAGUUGGAAACUACGCACACACAUUUGUAUAUAUACGAUUAUAUAUGUAUAUAUCUAAAUAUAUAUAUGUAUAAUAUAUAUAUAAAUAUUUAUGUAUGUAUUUUUAUAUUAUUUAUAUUAUAAAUAUGUAAUAUAAAUAACAUGUAAAUAAAUAAAUAAUUAUAUAUAUAUACAUAUAUAUAUUAGAUAUAUAUGUAUUUGUAAUGUAUAGAAUAAAAAGAGAAAGAGAUG